UUUUCCCAAACAUUCCUUCAUCCAUUUCAUCUUCUUUGUCUCUCCAUUUCCAUUCCAUUUUUCUCUCCAUUCUCUAGUUGCAAAAUUCUGCGUUUUCAAGUAAGAAGAAGAAGAAGAAGAAGGAGCCGGGAAUAUCAUAUCCUCCAUCGUCCACCUUGAAGGCUUGCUUCCAAGAUUCAAGAUUUCAACGUUUCAAGCACUCCAUCUCCAUCUCCAUCUCCAACUCACGGUGUGUACCCUCAAUCCCCGGAAUAGAACGAUCCCUAUUUGCUUAUACUACUAACGAUGUUUUCAGGGUUAAAUUAUGCGCUUGCUUUGAGCGUAUCAAUUUUUGGCGCCGUUGCCGGGGAUUGAAAAAUCACUUGUUUUUGUUUAUAAUUGUUGUAUAUAAACUGUUUGAUACUUAGUUUAAAUUAACUAGGUUGUUUUUUUUUAUUGUUGAAUACGAGUUUAAUUGUGAGUUGUAAAUUAAAGAAGGAAUAGGUGAAGUCGUGUUUAUUAAUAUUGGCCUAAACCCCUUAUUGGUACCUAGUUCAGGUCCCUUAUGGUUGAGGGCGGCCUUUAUUAACAUUCAUUGAACUGUCUAACACACUUAGGACCUUUUACAUCCUAGUAAGAAUAUCCUAUGUGAGAUGGUGUCUAGGAAGGGGACAACGUUCAUGACGGGUUUUUGAAUCCAGAAGUGCUUAUAAAUGGGCUUAGCUCAUGCCAAAAUGGAUUUUUCCUCUCGUGUUCACCCUCCCCUACCUGGCCAUUUCAGUAAGGUUGCCCAACGGAUGUAGGAGGGACUUUGUGUCUAGACGACUAUAUUUGGGCCGCACGUCCACUUGAUUUACCGCUUGGAAUUAGAUUUGAUAUCAAUAAUGUUUAUAACAAAAGAAAUACUUGUGCAUACUCUUUACGUGUAAAUUAUUUUGUUGUUUCACACUUUAUACUUGUAAAAAUACUUUUUACGUUUUAUACUCACUUGUGUACUUAACUUGUGUCUUAUGUACAAAAUACUUGUUAAUUAUACUUGUAGUUUGUAAUUCAUAGUUACUUGUUUAUUUUUUUUUGUAUUUCUUUGUUAAUAUUAAGUUACUAACUUUAUUUAAUGUAGGUACCGUCUGGCUGCAAGACGUAAAAUACAAGCGCUGCUUGGGAGGCAACCCAAUUCAGAAUAUAAUCAGAUUUGCUUUCUCUUCCCCUUUUACUCCUCCAUUUUCUUUUUGUUUUAGUAGUUAUUUUCGUAAAUUCCAUCCCUAUAUGCUUACUUAUUUCAUUGCAUGCUUUUAAUUGAUUACAUUGAGGAUAAUGCAAUAUUUAAGUGUGGGGGAAGGGAUUUAUAUUUUUGUCUUUCAUUUUGAAUCCUAUAAAUAUUUUUGUCUUUCAUUUUGAGUCCUAUAAAUAUUUUUGAGUCCUAUAUUUAAAAAAAAAAAUAAUAAUAAUAAUAAUAAAAAAAAAUAA